UACGUAGGUGGCGAGCGUUAUCCGGAAUUAUUGGGCGUAAAGAGCGCGCAGGUGGUUGAUUAAGUCUGAUGUAAAAGCCCACGGCUUAACCGUGGAGGGUCAUUGGAAACUGGUCGACUUGAGUGCAGAAGAGGAGAGUGGAAUUCCACGUGUAGCGGUGAAAUGCGUAGAGAUGUGGAGGAACACCAGUGGCGAAGGCGACUCUCUGGUCUGUAACUGACACUGAGGCGCGAAAGCGUGGGGAGCAAACAGGAUUAGAUACCCCGGUA
rnacentral:rRNA from 1 species